rnacentral:rRNA from 1 species
CCUACGGGUGGCAGCAGUAGGGAAUUUUCGUCAAUGGGCGCAAGCCUGAACGAGCGAUGCCGCGUGAGUGAAGAAGGCCUUCGGGUCGUAAAGCUCUGUUUCGGGGGAAAAAAGGCAGCAUCCGGAAAUGGGUGCUGACUGAUGGUGCCCCGCCAGAAAGUCACGGCUAACGCCGUGCCAGCAGCAGCGGUAAUACGUAGGUGGCGAGCGUUAUCCGGAAUGAUUGGGCGUAAAGGGUGCGCAGGCGGUCCUGCAAGUCUGGAGUGAAACGCAUGGGCUCAACUCAUGCAUGGCAUGGGAAACUGGAGGACUGGAGGGCAGGAGAGGGAGGUGGAACUCCAGGUGUAGCGGUGAAAUGCGUAGAUAUAUGGAAGAACACCAGUGGCGAAGGCGGCCGCCUGGCCUGUUGCUGACGCUGAGGCACGAAAGCGUGGGGAGCAAAUAGGAUUAGAUACCCGUGUAGUC